CGAACAGGACAGUGAAACGACUUCGCGCCGAUGAUAGUGCGGAUUCCCGUGUGAAAGUAGGUCAUCGUCAGGC
rnacentral:rRNA from 1 species